UAAUAGCCCGUGUAUUUUAAGCAGAUUUAAUUAAGGGCUAAUUAUUUAUCUUAAAUUAAUUACGAUAUUUUGGUAUAAGUUGAUGGGAUUUUCUUAAAGAAAUUUAGUGUUUUAAGACAAAAGGAAAAUUAUGCUCUAUAAUGUAUUUGCUUAUAUGGUUUAAGGAUUAGUAUUUUUAGUUUAGAAAAAAAAAAUGUAUUCUCCCUCAAUGUAGUUAAGGUGUCAAAAUAUAUUAACAUUUCAUGCUUUUCUCUCUCCUUUUUCUCUAUCAUCUUGUCAAAAGAAAGUGAAGGCAACAAAACUCAAAACCUUGAGUUGUCAAAUUUUCAAUGUUUAAUCUGAUACUUAAGUUUAUAACUAGCAAAUCCAUCUCAAAUUCUUAUUAUUCAGCACUAGAAAAUUUAAGAAACACCAAUUCUCAGUUUUCAUUCUCGCAUCCUCUCAUUCACCGACAUUCCUCUCACUCCUCUGUUCUGUCCGUCAAAUUCAAGCAUCAUACUCUCAUUUUUUAGUCUUUGUUCCUUCAUAAAAGUUGCAGAUCUCUUUGAGAUAUUGAAUUUAGGCUCAAAAAUUUCUUCAAUCGGAGUUCGGAGCUAAGAGUUAUGCUCUCUGGAAGUUGUAGUUGUUGUUGCCGCUGUUGCAGCGUUUUUCUCUCUCCUCUUCUUCGUGGAUGCUGCUGCUACGAGUUUGUUUGGUGUUGUGGCUGUUGCAUGUUGUUGUUGUCAUCGAUUCUUUCUUGUUUUGAUUUGAAGGAGACCCAAUUCAAUUUGAGCCAAAUUCUAUCAAGGUAUGAAAUUUUGUUGGUGAUUUAUCUUCAUUCCUCCAAUUUAUAGUAUACAUACUUUAUUCUUCCAUUGUAUUUGUAACACUAAUUCAAAUUAUGAUGGGUUUUACUUCAUGAUUUCACAAAUAAAUUCAGGUCUAAAUCUUGAUUAUUGUUGCUUAGCAAAAUCAGUUGAGAUGAAGGGUUGGUAAAAGUAUUCAAUGGAUUUUAUGAAAUUAGUUAGUUAUGUAAUUUUUUUAGAAGUUAAUAUAUAUUUUUUUUAAAGAGUUGUAUUUGCUGGUUGUUCCGAAUGAGAAUUGGGAUUAGCUUAUGGUAUGAUAUUGGUUAGUUCAUGAGUUUUGAUCAAAAUAUACAAAUAAAGGUUGCAGCUUUUUGUUCGCAAUAUGUAAUUUAGAUAUGGGUCUAUCAGUUGAUUAAUGAAGUUAUUAGAGUUAUAAUAUGAGUUGGAUUAUAAUAAGGGUGUGUGUAUAAGAGUUAUAAUAAUUAGUUCAUAAAGAGUUUAGAAAUAUAUAAUCAAGUUAAGAUUGUCAAUACGAAUUGUUCUAAAGAUGGAUACUAAUUUUUAUUGUUCCUAUGAGGUGAAUGAGUGUGGAACUUGAGUAUAACUUGGAGAUGGAUAUUGGAUUCUCGAAUAUAAUUUUGGAGUAGAAUGCUAUCUGAAGAUGCAUAGAGAGUUCAUUGUUAGUGAUCUUGCAGGUUCGUGUGUGGAAAGCUCGGAAUGGAGUAAAAGGAAGAAUUUAGUUAUCAAGGUUAUAAUUAGAUGUAAUGGUUCAGAGGUUGUAUUUAGGAUUAUAUAUCCUUAUUUGUGAAUAAAUUAUUAUAUUGCUUUAGAAGUCGAGCAAGGUAUUGUGUAAUAUGUUAUUUGGUUAUUGAGGAUGAUUUGUUGUGGGCCCUGACCCACAGGUCCAGGAUCGUUCUAUAGGUUAUGUUUCCGCUGCAAGUGAAUAUAAUUCGAGGUCAUUAAGCGUUAAUUGUAAUUAGCGUAUCUUAAGUGUGUUUAGCUAGCAGCUCGGAAGUGCGGGCUGUUACACAUUUCCUCUCUCUUCUUCGUCUUCGUGCCUGCCCUGUUCGUCGAUGUUCGUGGGUCUGCUUCUUUUCGUCGGUGGACGACGGUUGUCGGGCUGCUGUUCAUCGUGGUCGGUGAUCUCCGCCGCUGCUGGAGGAAAGUUCCUUCCUUUGUCGUGGUCUCCCCUGCUUCAAGAGCAGAGGUAAUGACUACCUUUAUCUUUUUCCUUGAAAUUCUGGUUUCAAGUUUUGUUUAAGCCCAAGUUGUUGUUACUAUUUUGUUGUUAUUGUUGUUGUAUUGAAUUCUUAGAGUAGUUGUUGUUGGUUGUUGUUCUGUUGUUGGUGGUGGAGGUGUUGCUGCUGUUGUUGUUAUGGUUGUUGGUGUGAUUGAUGUGGUUGUAGGUGUGGUUGUGCUGGUUGUUAGUGUGGUUGUGCGUUGUUGAUGUUGUGAUGGUUGUUGUCGUUUCGUGUGAUGGUGGUUCAUUGUUAAUGGGUUAUUGAAGUGUUGUAGUGUGUUUUGUUGCUGUUAGUAACAGUAACUUUUGUUAUUCUCAAAAGGAGGAAUGUUCUAUAAUUUCUUAUUUAUGUGAUUAAGUUUUCUAGUUAAGCUUGGUUUACUCAGUUCAAUGAUUUAGAGUUAUAGUUACAAAGUGAUAAUUAAGAGAAUAUUAAGGUAGAUAAUUUCUAGAUUGGGAGUUGGUUAUAAUUUCACUUUGUAGUUUAGAUUAAUUUAAGGAUAGUUGUUGAUUAUUGUUAUUAUUUUGAGGUUAAUAUUGGAGAAUCGGUAUGGAAUUCAAGAGAGUUGAUGGAGUUGUGAAGUUCUCAAAGUCUUUAUAUGUCGGAGCUAAAGAAUGGAUUGCGUAUAAGGUUUGAUAUUCAGAGUUCGGAAUUCGAAGUGGAGCAAGAUCAAGGUGUCAUAAUGGCUUAAGGAUUAAGCUUGUAUUUUAGAUAGCUGAUUCAGGAAUAGUUAUUUAUAUAUCGUUGUAUAAUAUUUGGGAAUAUUUGUCGAGUUAUUGGUGUAAUUAAGGAUAUUUUUCCGCUGCGAAGUAAUUUAAUUAAGAGUUAAUUCUA